rnacentral:lncRNA from 1 species
UUAGGAUGAAGUCCUUAAAAAGGAAUUACUCGAUCAGAAAACAUGAGUGUUUUCAAGGUUCUUGAUACACAUUACCCAAACUGCCUUCCAGAAAGUGACCACCAAAAUCAUCCUGAAAGAUCUGUCAGAGAGAUGGCAGAGCUUGGUCCACUCUACAUGCCAAGCUGGCUGCCAGCAAGGAGGAUGAUCAACUCUGAUGGCCUCCAGUCACAGAGCAGCCACACCUUUAAUAAGAGAACUGUGUCUUGAACUCUUCAUUUAGUCAACAAACAUUCAGGAGGGUGAAGAGGCAAAGAGAUCCAGGGCUACUGGAGAACAGGCCAGGAUGGGAGAUUUCAUGGGGGACCUCUAGGGAGAGCCCAAAAAGGCAAGUGAGAGGACAUCAAAAAUAAAUUCCUUCUGCUUCAGAAUUUUGCUGAGGGUCUGCACUACAUCACACUUUCUGUGUGUGUGUGUGUGUGUGUGUGUGUGUGUGUGUGUGUCUGUGUGCAUGCACAUUAUUGAUCUGAUGAACCUUUUUUUUUUCUUCCUGUGUUCGAGUUUGAAGCAUAUUUAGGGAAUGCUGAACCAAACUACUGAGAUUGGGACUUUUGUAGGAACUCUGAGACUAUUGUCUCCAUUGGAAUGGGAGAUAUACAGAGACAGGUAACUUCUCACAAAGGUGUGGCUGUUCCUCCUGAGUCCAAGCUUGGCAAGGCCCAAGUGAGGAAGGGAAGCAGAUUGCAGCUCUG